ACAUAUUGCAGCAAGCAGAUUUUUAUCCUGUUCAGUUACCUGAAGAAAAAAGAAAAACAAAGGAGGAAACCGGAGCUCCUGGAGGAAACCCAUACAGACUCAGGGAGAACAUGCACACUCUACACAGAAAGGACCAGGACCUGUAUAAGUACAACUGUGAUGAAUCUAACAUUAUCGCAUAAUUGAGGACGAAAGAAAACGAAAGCGUACGAAGAAUCACGAAGGUUGAACGAUAAAGCACGAAAACGCACGGAGAUGCCCGAAGAUGAGCGAGAGCGCACGACGACGCACGAAGGCGGACGAAGACCCAUAAACACCAACUUGCACCACCAAUCAGACAGGAUUGCAACACGCAAUUUUUUGUUUGGAUUUAUUUCAAUAUUCCAAACUGUAUUUAUCAGACUUCAAACGAAGGGCAUUUACAUUGCUGCACUAAUUAUGUGCUGUAUUAA